GAAUUAACCUGUAGUAUCUCCAUCAACCCCAGGAGACGACAACAUACCCCAGUUGGAUCCUCCCUCCGAUAUUGUGGGAACUGACACCAACGCUAGUGACAUUACCAGCGACAUCACACCAGCCUCAGCAGAUGAUCCUCUUAGCGACUCAAAUCUAUUGGGAACUAGCAUAGGUCAGCCUGUGAUGCAUUCUUCAGAUGUUGGGAGAGAUUCCUUGAGCCAAUCCUUAGGUCAGUCGACUGCACUUCUCAUCGAGGAUAUGGUCAUGGAUGAUCAGAGUCCAUAAAAAAAAAUAAAUAAAUAAAUAAAAACAAUCUAAUAGGCAUUAUUGGUGGUAUUUUUUAAGUACUUGUAUCCGCAAUCAAUAUAAUGACAACACAUAAUCCGUAAAGAUAUAUGUUUCAUGAAUUUGAAAAUAAAGUGUCACUUUAGCUUA